rnacentral:rRNA from 1 species
UACGUAGGUGGCGAGCGUUAUCCGGAUUUACUGGGUGUAAAGGGUGUGUAGGCGGACUUGCAAGUCAGGUGUGAAAUCUAUCGGCUCAACUGAUAGCGUGCACUUGAAACUGCAGGCCUUGAGAGUCGGAGAGGUAAGCGGAAUUCCCAGUGUAGCGGUGAAAUGCGUAGAUAUUGGGAGGAACACCAGUGGCGAAGGCGGCUUACUGGACGACCACUGACGCUGAGACACGAAAGCGUGGGGAG